UUUUAGCCAAAGUGAAAAACCUUUUUAUACCAAUUUUUACAUUUUUAUAUGCUGUUUCGUAGAGCCUUAAGGAAGACAAUUUCAUCUUUUUAGUCUUCAUGUUCCUCCUCAUGCCGACAAGCAGGGCUCCAGUUCAUCAAUGUGUGAUUGCCUUGUAAAUGUGAGCAGCCAAGGAAGCAGAAAGGAAUGUUCCUGGAGGGAUCUAGAAAGCCAGAGGAAAGAACAGCAUA
rnacentral:lncRNA from 1 species